UAUUAACCCCAAUCCUCCAGAGAAUUAAAGUUUAGAGUGAAGCUGCUUCUUCUUCUUCUCCAAUGCCUGAGAGUAGAUACCAGAGAUGGAGUCACCGUCACGGAGAGAGGUAGAGAGCAGAUCGGUAGAGCUUCUUCUUCUCCGACGACUGACAAAACCCGCCAUCCUCUAUCAGAGAGUAGAUUUUCUUCUUCUUCUUCUUCUCCUCCUCCGUCGAGCCCGCCGCCGCGCCAUCCUCUUCAUCUCAAGUGACUGUACACAUGAAAGCAGUGUUAACAAGGCACCUUCAGUAAGCUGUUUUGACUAAGAGUUUGUAUCUCCUUUGAAAGCUACUAUGAGGAACAGAAUGUUGAAAGAUUUCAACUCGGCAAUGGGACCAUUCAACUUAUCGCCUCUUAAGACCAGUAUUUUCAAAUUUAAUAGAUUUUGAAGCCAAUUGGGAAAUGUAUCCUCAAAUUGAUUGUUUCCAAGAUUCAAAUCCACAAGCUGUGUGCAAUUGGACAAAGAUUUCGGCAAUAAACCUUCAAACUGGUUGCCAUUGAGAUUCACUUAUUGAUGGUAUUUUAUCAUUUACUAUUAUUGGCAACUAAGAAGUUUGGGGUUAAUGAAUUUGUGAACCCAAAAGAUCAUAACAAACCUAUACAAGAGGUUAGUUCAUUCUAAGUUUUCCUGCAUAAUUAUUUAUAUUUUCAAGGAAGAAAGACUAAGAUGUUAAUAUUGCUCAAAAGAUAAUUGCUGAAAUGACCAUGAGAGAAUUCUCAGCCAUUGCAAAAGAAAAUUAAGAUGCAUGUCUGAACUAUGAAUUAUAGAGUAUGUUCUUCCUUCUUACAUAACUUAUGAUUAGGCCCCCUUCACAUGUUAUUUGUUCAAAGCAUGCUUUUUACAUGUUCAAAGUAUAUAUGGCUCUGCUAAUUUUGUUGAAAA